CCUAAAACUACGAUUCAUUUCCACGAAUCUGAACCUCCAACCUCCCUCGCCCUCUCUCAACUCUGGAGAAAAGUAAAAACUCACAACAAUUCACAGAUCGAACAACAAAUACAAACAAAACCUAAAACCUAGCUUAGCUUCCAACUCACCCCUCGAAACACCAGAAAAGCAUAAUAAUGCUAAUUUAACAUCUACAAGCACCCUUCCAGAGAUAAAACUAGUGAAAAGUUAGAUCCAAAAUCCAGCUCCAAUAGCGGCAUUUAACGUUCGCUUCUCUUUACAGAGCCAAAACCA
rnacentral:misc_RNA from 1 species